UACGUAGGGUGCGAGCGUUGUCCGGAAUUAUUGGGCGUAAAGGGCUCGUAGGCGGUUUGUCGCGUCGGGAGUGAAAUCCACUGGCUUAACUGGUGGCUUGCUUUCGAUACGGGCAGACUGGAGGUAUGCAGGGGAGAACGGAAUUCCUGGUGUAGCGGUGAAAUGCGCAGAUAUCAGGAGGAACACCGGUGGCGAAGGCGGCAUCCUGGACCGGCAUUGACGCUGAGGAGCGAAAGCCAGGGGAGCAAACGGG
rnacentral:rRNA from 1 species